AACGAACGCUGGCGGCAUGCCUAACACAUGCAAGUCGAACGAAGGCUUCGGCCUUAGUGGCGCACGGGUGCGUAACGCGUGGGAAUCUGCCCCUCGGUUCGGAGUAACAGUUAGAAAUGACUGCUAAUACCGGAUGAUGACUUCGGUCCAAAGAUUUAUCGCCGAGGGAUGAGCCCGCGUAAGAUUAGGUAGUUGGUGGGGUAAAGGCCUACCAAGCCGACGAUCUUUAGCUGGUCUGAGAGGAUGAUCAGCCACACUGGGACUGAGACACGGCCCAGUCUCCUACGGGAGGCAGCAGUGGGGAAUAUUGGACAAUGGGCGAAAGCCUGAUCCAGCAAUGCCGCGUGAGUGAUGAAGGCCUUAGGGUUGUAAAGCUCUUUUACCAGGGAUGAUAAUGACAGUACCUGGAGAAUAAGCUCCGGCUAACUCCGUGCCAGCAGCCGCGGUAA
rnacentral:rRNA from 1 species